GAUGAACGCUAGCGACAGGCUUAACACAUGCAAGUCGAGGGGCAGCGGGGGUGAUGGCUUGCCAUCACCUGCCGGCGACCGGCGCACGGGUGAGUAACACGUAUGCAACCUGCCCGCCACAGGGGGAUAAGCGGAAGAAAUUCCGUCUAAUACCGCGUGACGCGGCGCCGGGGCAUCCCGGUGCCGCCAAAGGGAUUACCGGUGGCGGAUGGGCAUGCGGCGCAUUAGCUAGUCGGCGGGGUAACGGCCCACCGAGGCGACGAUGCGUAGGGGUUCUGAGAGGAAGGUCCCCCACACUGGUACUGAGACACGGACCAGACUCCUACGGGAGGCAGCAGUGAGGAAUAUUGGUCAAUGGGCGCGAGCCUGAACCAGCCAAGUCGCGUGAGGGAUGACGGUCCUACGGAUUGUAAACCUCUUUUGCCGGGGAGCAAGCGUGCGUUCGUGAACGCGCGUCGAGAGUACCCGGAGAAAAAGCAUCGGCUAACUCCGUGCCAGCAGCCGCGGUAAUACGGAGGAUGCGAGCGUUAUCCGGAUUUAUUGGGUUUAAAGGGUGCGUAGGCGGGAUGCCAAGUCAGCGGUAAAAAUGCGGUGCUCAACGCCGUCGAGCCGUUGAAACUGGCGUUCUUGAGUGGGCGAGAAGUAUGCGGAAUGCGUGGUGUAGCGGUGAAAUGCAUAGAUAUCACGCAGAACUCCGAUUGCGAAGGCAGCAUACCGGCGCCCUACUGACGCUGAGGCACGAAAGCGUGGGUAUCGAACAGGAUUAGAUACCCUGGUAGUCCACGCAGUAAACGAUGAAUGCUAACUGUCCGGCUCGAAUGAGCGCUGGGCGGUACAGCGAAAGCGUUAAGCAUUCCACCUGGGGAGUACGCCGGCAACGGUGAAACUCAAAGGAAUUGACGGGGGCCCGCACGAGCGGAGGAACAUGUGGUUUAAUUCGAUGAUACGCGAGGAACCUUACCCGGGCUCAAACGCAGGAUGACGGGUCCCGAAAGGGGUCUUUCUUCGGACAUUCUGCGAGGUGCUGCAUGGUUGUCGUCAGCUCGUGCCGUGAGGUGUCGGCUUAAGUGCCAUAACGAGCGCAACCCCUGUCCACAGUUGCCAGCAGGUAAAGCUGGGGACUCUGUGGAGACUGCCGGCGCAAGCUGCGAGGAAGGCGGGGAUGACGUCAAAUCAGCACGGCCCUUACGUCCGGGGCGACACACGUGUUACAAUGGCAGGUACAGCGGGAUGCCACGGGGCGACCCGGCGCUGAACCCGAAAACCUGUCUCAGUUCGGAUUGGAGUCUGCAACCCGACUCCAUGAAGCUGGAUUCGCUAGUAAUCGCGCAUCAGCCACGGCGCGGUGAAUACGUUCCCGGGCCUUGUACACACCGCCCGUCAAGCCAUGGAAGCCGGGGGUACCUGAAGUGCGUGACCGCGAGGAGCGCCCUAGGGUAAAACCGGUGACUGGGGCU
rnacentral:rRNA from 1 species